GACGAACGCUGGCGGCGUGCCUAAUACAUGCAAGUAGAACGCACAGUUUAUACCGUAGCUUGCUACACCAUAAACUGUGAGUUGCGAACGGGUGAGUAACGCGUAGGUAACCUGCCUGGUAGCGGGGGGUAACUAUUGGAAACGAUAGCUAAUACCGCAUAAUAUUGAUUAUUGCAUGAUAAUUGAUUGAAAGAUGCUAUUGCAUCACUACCAGAUGGACCUGCGUUGUAUUAGCUAGUAGGUGAGGUAACGGCUCACCUAGGCGACGAUACAUAGCCGACCUGAGAGGGUGAUCGGCCACACUGGGACUGAGACACGGCCCAGACUCCUACGGGAGGCAGCAGUAGGGAAUCUUCGGCAAUGGACGAAAGUCUGACCGAGCAACGCCGCGUGAGUGAAGAAGGUUUUCGGAUCGUAAAGCUCUGUUGUAAGAGAAGAACGGGUGUGAGAGUGGAAAGUUCACACUGUGACGGUAGCUUACCAGAAAGGGACGGCUAACUACGUG
rnacentral:rRNA from 1 species